GCCAACACACAGAGCAGCGGACGGACAGGGAAUGGUGCUGGCCAGGCGAAGGGUUCCGUCAAACUGGACAGGCAGGGCGGGCGCGGUUGUCUCGGGAACUUCUCUUUGUGUAUAAUUUUGGAGAACUACUCUUCGGUACUUGUCCAGCAGUUCCUCAGACCGGGUCGUGGUGACGUCGUUUGUACCUGUGUGGAGAACAAAGAAUUCGGAGGAAGAAGAAGAGGAGGAAGAGAUAACAAGAGGAACAGAAGAAGGAGAAGAAGUAAUCUCUCUAUCUCUCUCUCUCUCUCUCUCUCUCUCUCUCUCUCUCUCACACACACACACACACAGUA